GAGGAAGGAGUGAUUGCUGCUGCCUCUAAACCACAGGGUGAUCCAACAUGUAAACCGGCAGCAGUCGAGUAGACACCGCCACACCCGGAUGGUGCCCCAGGCUUUGGAGAUUGGCCAGACCAAGGUCAAGGGCUGGGCUAGCUAAGCAGGCUGCCGGGCAGUUGACCACCAUCCCUGUGCAGUUCCUGCACAGCCUAGACAGUGACUGACUGACUUCUGGACCUCACCACCUCUGUCUCAGUCACUCAUGUUGUCUCCACCCUCUCCCGAGGAUCAGGGGCAGGAGGUGCCUACAUCUGGGACCUCUAGGGGACUGGCCAGGUGCUGAGACAUCAGUUUCCAUAUUCUACAAACACAGGCGAUCCAUCUUCCCUUGCUCCCUCUCAAGAUUGAGGGAGAGACCUGGAAGAGUCAGGGUAGACACAGCCCACUGACGUGCCUCCUGAAGUGUGGGCUCAGGCUACCUGGGAGGUCAGCGGCCUUGUGCCCAGUGGUCAGGGAGCGCCACCCAGAGGGCAUCGUGGGCCAUUGCAUGAAAAGAGGCCUGCUGCCUUGCCUGGUUCUGGAUAUCCGAAGGUGGCCAGGGGCCAAAGAACGGAAGAGCGCCAGCCCAGAAUUUCCCAGUAGAGAACAUAACCCAGGACGCGGUAAUUGUUUGAACAGCAGUAACAGGGCUGCUUCUUCUACAAGCUGCUCCCUGCCCAUCCCCCUGCUUUGCUCCAGCUUUAUGGUCUUCCUCCAGGAGCUGGGAGGUAGCAGACUCCAGCUGAGACUUGUUGGGGAGCUGGUCUGCCGCCAGAGCCCACUCCCUGGGGCUCCGCCUUCUGCUUCCCUCCUCUGCCACCACCUGCCCUAAGUUUUGUGGUGUUUUGUUUUGCAGACGUUUUGACUUCACACCAGGUGUCCAUUAACUACCCAGAGGGGGAAAAAAUCCUGGUGCUUCUGAGAGGUGACUGUCCCUCUGCCAAAAUUCUGUUGGUCUCCCUGAAAUCUUAGCUGACACAGGCUGGACACAGGCCAGGAGUUGGGGAACUAGAUGGACACCCCGCCACCUCACCCACUUUCCUUUCUUCUAGCCACACAUCCUGAAGCUUCAAGUUUAAUGGGGCACGCUGGGAACUUCCAGCUAUUUCUGUCUGCCUGCACUGCCCUGAGUGCCAUCCAUUCUUGGGGCCUCAACAUUGAGUUGCUUUUCCACCUUGCCUUUUCAAAGGGUGAAGUCUUGUCAGGUGCCUUUAGUCUACUAAACUGGCAAACACGCU